GUUUUAUUUAAUCUUCCAAAUGGAUCAAAAAAUCAGCCUAGCAUUAGCAGCUAAAGGCAAUAAUCAUCUCCCUGAAAGGCAAAGAUUGAAGGAGGAGCUGAGAGAUCAAUUCCUUUUCUUUUAGGAAAAAAGUGUCAAACUAAUUGGAGAAAACAUGCGGAAGAACAGAUGGCACCAUGUUCCUGAAGAAAACAAAACAAAAAGGCAAAAAAAAUAGAAGCAAAAACCACCUAUAAUGUCUGUUCAUUCUCAGCACUCCUUAGGGACUGAUGAAGAAACUGCUUCAAUAAUUUAAAGUCACAAACAGCCAAUGAAUAAUUUACUUCGUAUUUUACAGUUCUCUAGUUCAAGUCAAACCAACUUACAGAUGUUAUCAUAGGGGCUUUGAUAUUGUGGAAAUUUAUAACAGUUAUCUCAGUAAAACCUAAGUGGCACUUGAGGACAAAAUGAGGUAUCUACCAUUGCUAUCAACCACGACGAUAUUUACCAAAAUGUAAAUGUUACAG
rnacentral:lncRNA from 1 species